rnacentral:pre_miRNA from 5 species
UGAUAUGUUUGAUAUUGGGUUGUUUAAUUAGGAACCAACUAAAUGUCAAACAUAUUCUUA